CCCUAGCCCUGAUUGCAACGAAAAUCCUUUUUGUUUUUCUUUAAAAAUAAAAAGAUUGCAGUGGAAAGCAGGAAUCAGC
rnacentral:sRNA from 1 species